UACGUAGGUGGCAAGCGUUGUCCGGAAUUACUGGGCGUAAAGCGUGCGCAGGCGGUCUGUUAAGACCGACGUGAAAUCCCCGGGCUUAACCUGGGAACUGCAUUGGUGACUGGCAGGCUUUGAGUGUGGCAGAGGGAGGUAGAAUUCCACGUGUAGCAGUGAAAUGCGUAGAGAUGUGGAGGAAUACCGAUGGCGAAGGCAGCCUCCUGGGCCAACACUGACGCUCAUGCACGAAAGCGUGGGGAGCAAACAGG
rnacentral:rRNA from 1 species